GCCCCAUCAUCAUCAUCAUCCCACCAGCGCCACCACCACCUCCACCGAGACCAACCACAUUGUUCCCCAUGCUCGGAGCGCCGCCGCCGCCGCCUCCCCCACCAUCGCCGCCGUCUUUGUGCUGAGGCUGGGAGGAGGCGGAGGCGCCGGCGCUGCACUUGUCGCCCUCCAUCUCGCGGAACCGGUGGAGGUAGACCUUGAGAGGGUCGACGUAGUCCUCGAAGCCGAGGGUGGUCAUGGCCCAGAGGAGGUCGUCGCCGUUGAUGGUCUUGCGCUUCUCGCGCUGGCACUUGUCGGCGGCCUCGCC
rnacentral:lncRNA from 1 species